GGCUGCGGUGCCUUGGCAACCGCACCUGUUUUGCUCCGCCCCUCGAGGGAUGGCUCGUGGAAGUGUGGCGGUCGCGGGUGUCAGAGUCUGGCGUCGAGAUGUACUAAGUCUGAGCACCAUCUAGCACCUGUGGGCUUCCGGACACCCCCAAGUACUUCAGCUGCGCUCCCCAACUGCAGUGUUUCCGCUGGCUAGGAACUCCCAAAAGCAUCGGGAGCCUCACCCUUUGGUCUUUUAGCGACUCUGGAGAGGGACAGGACAGCGGGAAUAGGGAAAGCCGAGGGAGUACAGGACACCGGGAAGAGGAAUAUCGAGACUCUUCCCUGCCGGAGAUGUGAGGUGGCUCAUGACAGUCCUUGCUGUGGUCCUACAGAACCUUCCUCUGACAGGAUCAUCUUUAUCCUGCUCUGAAGUACAGGCAGUGGUGACAUCUGAGAGAGAGGACACUGCAACCUUCCACCAAGGCCACAUGUGUCCAUCUCUUGGCUCACUCCUAGGACGUGUUGGGACAUCCCAAGGACGGGCGCAGAGGGACCCUGCCUAGAGACAAAGUCGGGCUGAGGUCUGCUUAUUUCUUCUGUGUCCUGACUCCUCUAUCUACAACCAGCCCCAGAAUCACUUUCUUGCCCUUUUGGUCCUUGAGGCCGGUGGGGUGGGUUAGAAUUGACAAGUGUUUCUACGAUCCCUGAGCCUUGGGGUACACAGCCCACCUAGGACUGAACACACUGUGGAUUCUCCCUGACUGUUAGAAGCCACUGUUAGAAGCCACACCUUUCUUUGCAUAAGGCCAUUGUCUCUUCAGGCUGCUGGGCCACAUUAGCUCUUUUGUUUAUACAGUGGAUUGAUUUUAUUUUCUGACAGCAUCUUACUAGGUACCCCUGGCUGGCCUAAAACACUAAGAAGACCAGGCUGGUCUUGAACUCACAGAUCAGCCUGCCUCUGUCUCCUAAGUUCUCAGACUAAAGAAGGCAUGUGCCACCACAUCUGGCUCUAUUUUUUAAUUUGUGAAAGAGGAGCUUACUCCGUAGCUUCACUGGCCCAGAGUCCACGGUGAUGGUCCUGCCUCUGCCUCCUGAACUGUGGAAUUAUAAGUAUGCAGCACCACACCCAACUGGUUUUGAAGUCUUUCCAUUCAGUUCUGCAAGGUAGCCCAAGCUUGCCUUGAAUUUCUCUGCCUGGGCUCCCAGGAUACUGGGGUUACAAACAGGAGUGGCCGAGAGUGGCGUCUGUGAACUUUCACAGAUUCCUCUAGCUGGACAGAGAAGGAAGUCAGAAAUUCAAAGCAGGAGAAAGAGACACUGUGUGUCAGUGACUCAGGUCUAGGAGCCCAGCUACCUGGGAGACUGACGCAAAAAGACCACAAAUUCAAGGUCAGCCAGCCUGGGCAGCCUGUCUCAAACCGAAAGUAAGGCUGGCUCAGUGGGGAAAGGCAUUUGCUGUGCAAACCUGAGGACUUCAAGCCCAGAUCCAUUGAUGGAAGGAGGACUGACUCUUAAAAGCUGUCCUCUAGCAGGGCAGUGGUGGUGCACGCCUUUAAUCCCAGAACUUGAGGGGCAAAAACUGGUGGAUUUCUGAGUUUGAGGCCAGCCUGAUUUACAGAGUGAGUUCCAGGACAGCCAGGGCUAUACAGAGAAACCUUGUCUUGAAAAAACAAACAAACAAAAAGCUGUCCUCUAACAGCUGGCACACACACAACCCCCCCCCACACACACACACUCUCUCUCACAGUAAUAAUAACUAGUGAAUAAAAACUAAAGGGUGGAAGAGACAGCUCAGAGGUAAAGAGCAUUUUUUACUCUUGCAGAGGAGCUGAGUUCUGUCACCAGCACCCAAAUGGCAAGUCAGAACCAUCUAUAACUCCAUUUUCCAGGGUAUGUGACACCCUCUCUGGCUUCCUGGUACCCAGGGUAUGCAGACAACAUACAUGCACACAAGACCCAUACAUAUAAAAUAUUUUUUUAGAAAAUUAAAAGUAAGUAAAAGAUAAAGAGUGGGUAGCUGUGUAGCUGAGUGGCCAUCUGGUAUGCAGAAGGCCUCAAGUUCAACCCCUACUGCUGCAAGCUGGCCGGGGCACUCAGUGACUUCUAGAAGCCGACUGUGAAUUGAGAACUAGACUUGUGAAUUGAGAACAGGGUUGCAUCAGUGGGGCGGAUCUACAUUUGGCAACUUUGUGGUUGUAUAAGGGUAUCAUAUUUUCUUAGGAGAUACAUGUUGAAAAUUUUCAUGGUGAAGGGUCAUGACCUGUAUGCUGGUCUCUAGUAGUUCGGGAAAAGUGUGCGUGAGGGAGAGGGGAAGCAGAUGUUACCCUAAAAUGCCAGCUGUCCACGAAUCCAAAUAAAGGGUCCAUGGU
ensembl:processed_transcript Gm14963 predicted gene 14963